rnacentral:sRNA from 1 species
UUUUUUUUUCGUAACUUUUGAGGAAUUAUAUGGCACUUGACAUUGUCUGUAUGUGCUAUUACUACAAUUUUGUAUAGAUGUCGAAAAAAAUUAAAUAACUGAAGUUCGAUAAUGCCUAGAGCUGUAUAGGCGACGUGCAGAUUUAAAUUAAAAAGCAUCAAUUAAUUAAAUAACUCAAUUCGGAACAAGUAUAUCGAUAUAGAAAUCGUAUGCAGUACGGAAGAAAAAAUGGUUUCUAUAACGGAUCUGCAGAUGUUUCAGACAUUAGUGAACAACAAAUCAGCGUUUGAUAUAAUUAAUACGAAAAAUUCACAGCUGCGCAAACACAUUCUGAAUGUUGACUGUAGCAUAUGGUGAAUCUACCCUGGACAAAAGUAACGCUUUUGUAGGUGAAUCAAAUGGAUAUUCACAAGUAAGGACAACAUUCGUCGUACCUUUUAUACAGAUCUAGCAUUCAUACAAUGGCUUGUGUUUUAUUAACAACGUAUUAUAUUAAAGCUAAAAUAAUAAUAAUAUA